rnacentral:rRNA from 1 species
UACGAAAAGGGGGCAAGCGUUGUUCGGAUUUUACUGGGGCGUAAAAGGGGCACGCAGGCGGUCUUGCCAGUCAGGGGGGUGAAAAGCCCCGGGGGCUCAACCCCCGGAACUGCCUCUGAUACUGCAGGACUAGAGACUAGGAGAGGGUGGUGGAAUUCCCAGUGUAGAGGUGAAAUUCGUAGAUAUUGGGGAGGAACACCAGAGGCGAAGGCGGCCACCUGGACUAGAUCUGACGCUCAGGUGCGAAAAGCGUGGGGGAGCAAAACAGG